UACGUAGGGUGCGAGCGUUAAUCGGAAUUACUGGGCGUAAAGCGUGCGCAGGCGGGCUUUUAAGCCAGACGUGAAAUCCCCGGGCUUAACCUGGGAAUGGCGUUUGGGACUGGAAGUCUGGAGUACGGCAGAGGAGACUGGAAUUCCUGGUGUAGCAGUGAAAUGCGUAGAUAUCAGGAGGAACACCGAUGGCGAAGGCAGGUCUCUGGGCUGAUACUGACGCUCAUGCACGAAAGCGUGGGGAGCAAACAGGAUUAGAUACCCUGGUAGUCCACGCCCUAAACGAUGUCGACUGGUUGUUGGGGGUUUGACACUCUCAGUAACGAAGCUAACGCGUGAAGUCGACCGCCUGGGGAGUACGGCCGCAAGGUUAAA
rnacentral:rRNA from 1 species